rnacentral:lncRNA from 1 species
AAAUGACACAUAAAGUAACAACUAUAGGUCACAGUACAGCCUUCAACAAUGAGCAAAGCCCAAACCGCACAGUCAGCUAUAAAAAGCCUCGAAAUGGCGAUGUAAAUCAAUUCAAAAGAAAAAACUAACAGCCUGAUAAAUGAACCAAUAAUGAACGAAAAACAAAUAUGUAACACAUAAACAAACAACAACCACUGUAUGUCUGUACUCUAACUAUUUAUACAAAAAAGAAGAUGUGGUAUGAUUGCCAAUGAGAUAACUCGCCACAA